AUCUACGGCCAUGCUACCCUGAAAAGCCCGAUCCCAUCUGAUCUUGAAAGCUAAGCAAGGUCGGGCCUGGUUAGUACUUGGAUGGGAGACCACCUACCUAGGAAGACUAGGUGCUGUAGAUG
ensembl:rRNA 5S_rRNA 5S ribosomal RNA